GACAGAGGGUGCAAACGUUGUUCGGAAUUACUGGGCGUAAAGCGCGUGUAGGCGGCCAACUAAGUCGGGCGUGAAAUCCCACGGCUCAACCGUGGAAGUGCACUCGAAACUGGAUGGCUAGAGUCCUGGAGAGGAAGGUGGAAUGCUUGGUGUAGAGGUGAAAUUCGUAGAUAUCAAGCGGAACACCGAUGGCGAAGGCAGCCCCCUGGGUCAAGAUUGACGCUCAUGCACGAAAGCGUGGGGAGCAAACAGG
rnacentral:rRNA from 1 species